rnacentral:piRNA from 1 species
AGGUCAUUUUCAACUGAUGUCUUUGGUUC